GUUAGAUUUUUGUAUAUAAACCGCGCGAGGAUUUUGCCAAUCAGACUGCUUCAACAGACUUCAACUGAUAAAAGCAUAAACAUGAAUACCAAGUUUCUGAUCGUCCUGCUGGUCAUCGGCCUCGUGAUGAUGACCACUGUGUCAGCCAACAACUGCAAAAAUAAAUGUAAGAACAAGAGGGACAGAUGCGAAAGUGACUGCUCCUCGGGACCACUAGCGGACAGAAGGCAGUGUAGGGACAAGUGCGAGAGGAAAUUUGGAAAAUGCAAACAACAAUGUAAUUCUGGUUAACAUGUUCGAAGCAUCGAAAGAAUUUGAAAUAAAUCUAAAGUAAUA